rnacentral:sRNA from 1 species
GGUUUCCGUAGGUGAACCUGCGGAAGGAUCAUUACCACACUUCAAAAAAAACAAAGAGGGUUCUUUUGUCUAUAAAUUCUUUGUCUUGUACCGAGAAUUGUUAGUCAAUCCCCUUUUUGCGUCCCGCGAACAAAAUAAAUUUCGGUGAAUCAGUUGACUUGGAGGAAACUUCUGUCGGAUGAUUUGUCUUGUUUUAAAAUAUUUUCUUAACUGAAGUUUUUUGAAACAUAAACCAUUUUUAUUGUCACUCUCUGUAACAAGAGUAGUGAUUCUCUUGAUUGAGAAUUGAAAGUUGCAAAUGAUUAUGAACUCAUAACGUAAGCCUUUCUUAACCUUCAGGUGAAGAAAACGCUAAAACUACGCCUUGAGCGAAAUGUCAAACCACUUUCAGCAACGGAUGUCUUGGCUCCCACAACGAUGAAGAACGCAGCGAAAUGCGAUACGUCAUGCGAAUUGCAAAAUCCAGUGAGUCAUCAAAACUUUGAACGCAACUUGCACUUCCUUCGGGAAGUAUGUCUGUUGGAGUGUCUGUUCUAUCCCCACCAAGACGAAAGUUUUGGAGUCGACCGUCUUUCGAGACACGUUCAGAUGUAAGAAAAUGAACAGUAGAAAUUUAUUUCAACUGAUCAUGAUCAACGAAAAACUUGUGUGUUUUUUAAAUCCGCUCUUCGAAGUGUUUUAAAAAUCAUCCUUGUAUGACGUAAUGACGGUACUUUAUCUUCGGAUUAAGGAUUUCCUGACUGAAAACAUGCAAAUUUAAAGGAUUGAUUAUAAUUUCGGAGUCUCAAAGCUGGUUUCGAAUCUUCACAAUGGAAUCGGAUCUCCAAUCAGACAAGAUUACCCGCUGAAUUUAAGC